ACUAAAAUGGCAUCUUGGUGCUCAGGUAACCUCACUGAAAGCAAUCAAGCUGAUGACUGCCUGGCAAUGCUGCUUUUUGAGGGUUUUUGCUCCCUUAGAACUGGCCUCUUAGAUGUUGCAGACUAAGUUUCCUCUGUAACAAAGGCUCAGCCUUCGUCAGCUAGCUGAGUUUAAACACUUCUUGUCCUGUUGAAACAGAAAUUUCUUGUUUCCCCUCAGAAUCCAAACUCUGUUUAUCCUUCUAUAAGGGUAAGUACAUUUUCUAUCUUCCCUCUCCUUUUCCUCCCCCAUUAAAAACAGGAAAUCCACCUUGUCUGCUUCAUCAUGGAGCACAAACAUUUUUAAAACGGAUGUUUCGGGUACAACUGAUGUUUGCUGUGUAAGUUUGUGUCAGAGGCAAAAAAGAAGAGGAUAUUUGUUACUAAGUUUGGGGUUGGUUUGGUUUUGUGGCACUGGGGAUUGAGCCCAGGAGUGCUUUAUCACUGAGCUACACCCCUAACCCUUUUAUUUUUUGAGACAGGGUCUGGGUAAGUUGCCAAGGCUGGCCUCCACCAGUGAUGACCUCUUCCCCUUAGGGAUCCCUCAUGUUCUAAAACACUCCUGGGGGCCCUGUCAUUGUGUGCCUGCCCGUUUCCUUGCUGUUUCGUUGAAGACUUAUUAUCAUUCAUGGUGAAUCCAGAUGUUGGACAUGGUUUCUGUCUGCCCAGCUCCUUUUGAGUGGCCUCACUAAGUUUGGGAGAUGCCAGCAGUCAGUCCAGCCUCCCGGUGACAAACAGAAAACUUCCCCAGCACCCUUGCAUUUGGGGCACAGGCAUGUUGCUGGGCACUCAGUGACGUUCAGGGAUGGUGCCAUCACUUUCUCAUCAAACCAGUUGUAUAGAAAGGCUUUGGACGAUUUUUUUCUGAGAGUUUAAUCCUUGAGCCAAUCUUUCUGGACUCCAAAAUUCUAAGGUACCCAAUAUGUUUUAAAUAAUCUGUUUAAUCAGGCAAAGCUUUCUGUUCACCUGAUUGCUGGAGUAUUGCAACAGAAGCAGUGUUCCAAGGAACAUACUUUUUUAUUUUAAUAUUUUUAUUGGAGCUUUAUAGUUAUAUGUAGUAGUUGAGUUCAUCCCAACAAACUCAUACAUCAUGGAAUUCGAUUUCAGUUCAUGAUGCCCCCUUUCCCCUUCCAUCCUCCCUCCCCUCUCCCAUUAUUUUUUUCCUCUGCUCUACUAGGCUCAAAGGUCACACUUUGAGGAGCCCUGAUCUGUAUGCAAACUAGGAAGCUGCUUCCAGACAGUGCUAGCUGACAGGUAAGAGGGUGUAGGGAUGCUUGUGGCCGGAGCCCCCCAGCUUAGCACACUGACUUGGAUUACAGUCCUGGUUUCCUCCAUCAAACACGUGGACCAGUGAUUUGUU
rnacentral:lncRNA from 1 species